UAAAAAGUUAUUGGAGCCGAGAAAAGAAUAAUUUAAUCAAGAUGUUGCGCAUACCAGGUAUGCCCCUCCUCCCGGGGACGCUCUUUCGCGAAGUCAAUAAAGCCUACUACCCGAAAUCGCAAACGUUGCUCAAUUUUCGUGGCAUACCGAUGUUAAGUGAUCGCCAUGUGGCGAUGCCCGAGGAUCCAGCCGGCGUUGUCAUCGACAUUGCCUGUCCGCCGGCGAAUGCACACGCAUUAUAUCCACCUCGAACGGGCCCACGUCUACCGCCCUGGCUAGCCUACGACAAGAAGGUGCUGUUUUUUCGCGCCUAUUUAAAGCAGACGCUGCAGGAGAACUAUCAUGCACCGUAUAUGGUUCGACAUUUUAAGGUUUACUACUAUAUGGAGGAUGGCACUCUUGAGAUAUACGAGCCCAAGGUUGAGAACUCUGGCAUUGUACAGGGGUGUAUUCUACAUCGUCAGCGUGUCCCCAAGCCACCGCCAUGCGAGAACGAAUUCAUAUCGAUCAUUGACCUCAAUGUUGAUCGCACUGUGCAGAUUUACGAUCGCAACUAUCACUUUGUCGACUGUGAUCGCUUCACACGCGAUUUUCUCAACAAGCGCGGCAUUGUGGUCCCAGAUCCUGUGAUGGCUGCCAUUGAUCCUGCCGCGGGGGUGAGCAAACGUGGUCAAUCCCGACCCAGCAAUCCACCCGAGAAACGACAUCCAUUUGCCCAGUUCCUCAAGUAUGAUCGACAGAUACUGAAGUUUCAGGCAUAUUGGGAUGAUCGCACCGACAUGGGCGAUGUGCGCAAACUUGAGGUGUGCUAUUAUCUGGCCGAUGAUACUAUCGAGGUGAAGGAGGCUCACAUAACGAACUCAGGACGCGAUGGCCCCACUGUUUUCCUCAAACGGGGACGCUUGCAACGCGAAUUUGAUGGAAUGUUGAUGCCCGGUCAACAAACUCCGAAAACCUUGCUUAAUGUGUUGGGAACAGCGCGGAAUGUGCGCUACUGCGUCGAUCCUUUGAAUAUGGGUAACAAGGAGAUAUUGUAUUACGGCCAACGGGAUUUGCAGAUCGGCACCGUGAUCAAUGUGUAUGGCCGUGCUGUGGUCAUCACCGACAUGGAUCCAUUUACAAAGCAAUACUAUCGCGAUCACUAUGGGAUAGAAGACUUUACGCCGAUUGCGGUGCCAACGAGAUCGGAUGUUUGCAAGCCGUAUGACAAGUCGAGCCGAGUGCUGCCACCGUUCAAUGGCUGGGGCAGUUUCGAGGACUCCGCCGGUAAUUGUGUGUCCAUUGUGGCCAAACGUCCUAAAACCGAUUUCAGGAAAUUCAUAAAACUCGAUCGCUAUGUGCUGCGUUUUGGGGCCAAAAUGUUGUCCACAAUACGGGAAAACUGCGAGCGGAUCUUUGUGAUUAGCUAUUACCUCAGCGAUGAUACGAUGCAGGUGCAGGAGAUAGCGGUGCGCAAUUCAGGAUUCCUUGGCGGUGUCUUCAUGAAGCGGGGUCGCGUCCUUAUUCCCGGCCAGGAGACGUUCACCUGCAAGCAGCCACAAUAUUAUAAGCCCUGCAAUUUCUUCAUUGGUGGUACCAUGGUCAUCAGAGACUUUAUCUUUUAUUUGGCUUCGGCUGAUGAGUUCACUUUGAUGUAUAUGGAGCAUCAUCCGGAACAGUUUCCGCACUGUGAUAUUGAAAAGAUUUUGGAAAAGGUGCGUAAAUCUCUAGAGACACACAUGUCACAAUUUGUCGCUUCCUGUGUCCCUGACUGCACUGAUCUGGAGCGAAAGAUGGAGAAGUGCACCGUGUUUGUUUCCUUCGAGAGCCUUAAGAGUGCUUUGAUUGCCAUCAUGGGCAAUACGAUCAGUGAUCAUGAGAUAAUAUCACUUUGCCGUCAUUUCUCUGGGGAGCAGGCUCCUCCAAAUGCUUGCGCCAGAGAUAAGGUGCGUGCCUGCGCUCAUUUGGAGAUCAAGCGUUCGCUAUGGAAUGGUAGAGAUGAGCUGAUGGAGCAUUUCCACCACAUCAAUCCCACCAACAAACCGUUCCUGCCGGAGAACCAAGUGCGGUCAACUUUGCGCGGAUUCCGCAUGCCCUUUACUCUGGAGCUAAUCGAUAAUAUAUUGUCCGUGCUGAAUCGCAAUGAUUGUGAUGAUAUAGAGGUCUGCGAUCUGAUGAAUUUCAUUGAUGUCUCUUGUACGAAGGGCUGUGAUAUGCCUCCCAUCAAUUACGCAUUUGAGCUCUGCCCCAAAUUACCCUUUCAGUACAAGGGACGCGUCGUUGACUUUGGGUGCUUCAUUAAAGCACUCGGUUGUCCCCUCAAUCUGUCCAGUGGCAAUCCUCAAGCGAUAAAUAUGAUUGGCGAUGCUAGAAUUCUGCCACCAUCAUCUACAGUCGAUUGCUAAACACGCACUCGAUGCUUAAUCGUUUCAAGUGAUUCGCAUGCUUAGUUUCUGAAAAAACAUUUCAGAUGUUAAUUCAAAAUUUAAUGUACGAUAUCGGACAAGCCGGAUAUUGACAACUAUAUUAUGUAAGGGCGUAAGCAGGAGAUAGGGGUCCAUGCGGCUAUCAAUUUACAAAGUUUGGUCUCCUCUACAAAAAGAGCGCUCUAUAAUGUACAUACCAAGACAUUUUUAAUUCGAAUUAUUUACGAGAUAGAGUGGUGUCAGAGCCUGUGACAAAAUGUAUGGUGAUCGGCGCCAGUGGACCAUUUUGAGAACAUAUUCCAAUGCAGAUUAAAUUUGUGCCUAAAAUAAGACGACUAGUAAAUCGAUAAUUAUAAUCUUAUGGCUCGUUCGAAAAGUA
rnacentral:misc_RNA from 1 species